ensembl:lncRNA
CUGGUCUAAUUAGCAUACACAGCUGAAAUUUAGGGACCUGGGAUGAAGAAAAAAGAGAGGGAGACAUCCACUUAAAUCUCUUUGUCAGGCAGUGGCAUAGGAAGUUGUAAAGACUUGCAGUGCAGAGGUUGCUUCUGUUUGCCUUGCUUGAGGGGGGGCAGUCCCAAGGUGGAAAUGUUCUCCCAUUUCCAAGACCAGCAGAGCACCCUGUAUCCUACAUGAGAGCACCCACCUCUUCUUUUCAAGCCAAGCCAUGAAAACAAAGGAGAACCGAGCAGCAGCCAGCAGAGACACCCCAAAGUGAUGCAGCCGUACCAGCAACGGGGAACUCAUCCCUGGUGAUACCAGGAGAAAUCCCAACUCAUCUCCAGGACACUGAAGCAGAGUGUAGGAGCCUGUAGUCCUCCACUGGGGUUGCUUUGGGAGAGGCUGACCCAGCUGGACUGCAGUGGUAGGGACUGCAGCAAAGAGCCUGAGCAACAUUCAAGUGACGAUGCAGUCCUGUGAGGCAGACCACGUGGGACUCCCUGUUAAGACACAGUCAAGAGAUGACAUCAGUCUUUGUAGGAUCAUAGGAAAUAGCAUCACAGGUGAAGGCACAAAGUACUGAAGUUUCAGAAGAAAAAACAACACAGAAUCUUUGUAUCAAUCCAGUAAAAAAAAGCAACCCAAAAAACAACCUCACCACUUUGGGAAGGAUCUCCUCAAAAGAAAGCUGAUGAGUUGACUGGCAUCAGAGACUGUCCAAACCAAGGAGUCAGAUGGAAAGGACCACGAGGGAAAUUGGGCUGCAUACCCAAGAGAAGGCUUUGAAACAAUGCAAUCCCAUUUUCACAACGUCCAGCAUGGAGAUGUGAUGUCCAAAUCUCCAGUACCACUGUGCUUGCACAGGCAGAGCCUUGCCAGCUUUUCAGUCAGGCUGAGGCUGAAUUUGCCACAAGAGCAAGUCCUAGGAUGUGCAUUCAAGACGAGGAACAGGACCUUGUCCCACAGAGAACUUUUCCACCAAGCAAGCCCAGGGUGUCAGACUAGGAGCCUGUUUCUGUUUUCUGCAUUACAUUCAGCUCAAUCAAUCAUUCAAUGGCUUCCAUCCUUAUUUUUCCUCUGUCCUUUCCAGUCAGACUUUGUUCUCUUCAGACUGGUGGUGGGUUUGUGCCUGGUACAGAGGGUGCUCACCUGAGCCAGGGACAUGAUGGUUGCUGUCAUGCUAAUCAUAAUUUUCCUCAGAAAGGAAAUAGCAAAUGCCUUUGUGUCUUGUUCUCCUGCCCUUGUGCUCCCAGACCCCUGCUCUGAGGACAGGACACUUCCCCUCUGCCUCCUUUUGCUCUGAUUUGCCUUGCCUUCCCCAAGCCCUACUGCUAACUGCACUCUCACUGAUUAUUUUCUUUUCAGAGGCUGUAAACUUCAGUUCCUGCUCAGCUUGCAUUAGUGUCAGAGAAGUAUCUCUUGGCUGUUUACAGAAGAGAAAAUGGAAAGAUGAGCAUUAUUUCAUGUGAAAUAUGGUAGAGAGCCUAUGCUGAGUUUCUCUGUGAGGCCUGAGGCUCCAGCUACCUGAAGAAGCUGGUGAAAGCAUCCGUCAUCUGGUGAUUCAUCUCCCCCUGCCAUGGCUCUGGCCCUGCUCUGCGUGGGUGUCUCACAGCUCUCAUCAACUCUGGUUUUGAUGCAGACCAGGAGCUGCUGGGCUGUUCGCCCAAGUUUAUCUUGUAUGAAAGAGUUUGCUUGCUUUUCAAUUGUCUGGUGUUCUCCUGAAGAUGUAAAUUAAAAAAAAUAAAAAAAAAAAUAAAAAAAACAGGUUUUCUUGUAGAUUGCUUUUCAGCUGUUUCUACUAGGAGUGAGAAAAUGGGGAUUGGUGCUCAAGGGAUGUCUCUGGUGCGAGGUCAUACCAGUCCAAUCCCUUCUUGGAAAGAG